AAACCUCACGGAAGAAAGGGAGAGAAAAAAUACAGCUGUGAGUUGUGUGGAAAAUCUUUUACCCGGGCUGAACGCCUAAAAACACACCAAGUCAUCCACAGUGGAGUUAAACCUUACAGCUGUGAAUUGUGUGGAAAAUCUUUUACCCAGGACGGAAGCUUAAAAACACACCAAGUCAUCCACAGUGGAGUUAAAGCAUACAGCUGUAAUCACUGUGGUAAAGCCUUUGCUCGCAGUAGGUACUUACGAAUUCAUCAAGUUAUUCACUCUGGAAUCAAGCCAUACAGUUGUGACAUUUGUCGAAAAACUUUCACCCAGCCAGGGCACCGAAAUAUUCACCGGCGCAUUCACACCAAAAAUGAUGUUUACUGCUGUGAUCAGUGCGGAAAAGUCUUUGUGAAAUCCAAAGAUUUAGAGCGGCACAUGUUUACCCACACUGAGGAGAGACCUUACAAAUGUGACCUGUGUAAAAAGGCUUUUAAAGAGCCACGUUCCCUGAAAAAACACCAAAAGAUUCACACCAGGAAGAAACUCUACAAGUGCAGUUGCUGUGAGAAGCAGAGCGACAAAGAAUAUGGAUCCAGUUCUCAACCCUGUCGUCACUGUGGUGGUGGGAAAGACUUUCGCUGUGACCUUUGUGGAAAAAUGUUCAGUAAUCAAUGGAGCCUAAAAAUACAUCAACGUAGACACACUGGAGACAAAAUGAACUACUGCAAAGAAUGUGGGAGAGGCUUCCCCACACAGAGUCAAUUAAAAAACCAUGAACUCAUACACAGUGGGGUCAAAAAGCACGUCUGUGACCAGUGCGGGUCAUCCUUCACCACUGCAGGUGAGCUUAAAGUGCAUAAACGAGUCCACACAGGAGAGAAACCUUACAAGUGCAGACACUGUGACAGAAGCUUCUCGCAAUCAUCUGGUCGUAGCAAACAUGAACAAACACACUGGAAGAGAAUUUCAGCUGUGACCAGUGUGACAA